GGACAUCAGAGACAGGUGGUGCAUGGUUGUUGUCAGCUUGUGUCGUGAGAUGUUGGGUUAAGUCCCGCAACGAGCGCAACCCUUAUCCUUAGUAGCCAGCACUUCGGGUGGGCACUCUAGGGAGACUGCCAGGGAUAACCUGGAGGAAGGUGGGGAUGACGUCAAAUCAUCAUGCCCCUUAUGGCUUGGGCUACACACGUGCUACAAUGGCGUAACAAAGGGAAGCGAACCCGUGAGGGGGAGCAAAUCCCAAAAAUAACGUCCCAGUUCGGACUGUAGUCUGCAACCCGACUACACGAAGCUGGAAUCGCUAGUAAUCGCGAAUCAGAAUGUCGCGGUGAAUACGUUCCCGGGUCUUGUACACACCGCCCGUCACACCAUGGGAGUCGGGAAUGCCCGAAGUCAGUGACCCAACCUUUGGAGGGAGCUGCCGAAGGCAGGUCUGAUAACUGGGGUGAAGUCGUAACAAGGUAACCGU
rnacentral:rRNA from 1 species